rnacentral:sRNA from 1 species
UUUUAAGCCAGAUUGGAGCGGAAGCCCGGAGCGCAGCGAGGACUUAUAGCGUAAAGCAGGGCUACAG